rnacentral:rRNA from 1 species
UGUCCAGACUCCUACGGGAGGCAGCAGUGGGGAAUAUUGCACAAUGGGGGAAACCCUGAUGCAGCGACGCCGCGUGAAGGAAGAAGUAUCUCGGUAUGUAAACUUCUAUCGGCAGGGAAGAAAACGGACGGUACCUGACUAAGAAGCCCCGGCUAACUACGUGCCAGCAGCCGCGGUAAUACGUAGGGGGCGAGCGUUAUCCGGAUUUACUGGGUGUAAAGGGAGCGUAGACGGCUGGGCAAGCCUGAUGUGAAAGGCGGGGGCGCAACCCUCCGACUGCAUUGGGAACUGUCCGGCUGGAGCGCCGGAGGGGUAAGCGGAAUUCCUGGUGUAGCGGUGAAAUGCGUAGAUAUCAGGAGGAACACCGGUGGCGAAGGCGGGUUACUGG